GACGAACGCUGGCGGCGUGCUUAACACAUGCAAGUCGAACGGAAAGGCCCUGCUUUUGUGGGGUGCUCGAGUGGCGAACGGGUGAGUAACACGUGAGUAACCUGCCCUUGACUUUGGGAUAACUUCAGGAAACUGGGGCUAAUACCGGAUAGGAGCUCCUGCUGCAUGGUGGGGGUUGGAAAGUUUCGGCGGUUGGGGAUGGACUCGCGGCUUAUCAGCUUGUUGGUGGGGUAGUGGCUUACCAAGGCUUUGACGGGUAGCCGGCCUGAGAGGGUGACCGGCCACAUUGGGACUGAGAUACGGCCCAGACUCCUACGGGAGGCAGCAGUGGGGAAUAUUGCACAAUGGGCGGAAGCCUGAUGCAGCAACGCCGCGUGCGGGAUGACGGCCUUCGGGUUGUAAACCGCUUUCGCCUGUGACGAAGCGUGAGUGACGGUAAUGGGUAAAGAAGCACCGGCUAACUACGUGCCAGCAGCCGCGGUGAUACGUAGGGUGCGAGCGUUGUCCGGAUUUAUUGGGCGUAAAGGGCUCGUAGGUGGUUGAUCGCGUCGGAAGUGUAAUCUUGGGGCUUAACCCUGAGCGUGCUUUCGAUACGGGUUGACUUGAGGAAGGUAGGGGAGAAUGGAAUUCCUGGUGGAGCGGUGGAAUGCGCAGAUAUCAGGAGGAACACCAGUGGCGAAGGCGGUUCUCUGGGCCUUUCCUGACGCUGAGGAGCGAAAGCGUGGGGAGCGAACAGGCUUAGAUACCCUGGUAGUCCACGCUGUAAACGGUGGGUACUAGGUGUGGGGCCCAUUCCACGGGUUCCGUGCCGUAGCUAACGCUUUAAGUACCCCGCCUGGGGAGUACGGCCGCAAGGCUAAAACUCGAAGGAAUUGACGGGGCCCCGCACAAGCGGCGGAGCAUGCGGAUUAAUUCGAUGCAACGCGUAGAACCUUACCUGGGUUUGACAUGGAUCGGGAGUGCUCAGAGAUGGGUGUGCCUCUUUUGGGGUCGGUUCACAGGUGGUGCAUGGCUGUCGUCAGCUCGUGUCGUGAGAUGUUGGGUUAAGUCCCGCAACGAGCGCAACCCUUGUUCACUGUUGCCAGCACGUUAUGGUGGGGACUCAGUGGAGACCGCCGGGGUCAACUCGGAGGAAGGUGGGGAUGACGUCAAGUCAUCAUGCCCCUUAUGUCCAGGGCUUCACGCAUGCUACAAUGGCUGGUACAGAGAGUGGCGAGCCUGUGAGGGUGAGCGAAUCUCGGAAAGCCGGUCUCAGUUCGGAUUGGGGUCUGCAACUCGACCUCAUGAAGUCGGAGUCGCUAGUAAUCGCAGAUCAGCAACGCUGCGGUGAAUACGUUCCCGGG
rnacentral:rRNA from 1 species